UCCCAUAUAGCCGUUAUAGGAGCGUGAGAGAAAACUCGGUGUUUUCUGGGAAGUUAUCUGUGAUGGACGACACAGUGUUGAUCCUGUUCCUACCGGCAGUCUGGUGCUGGGAAUAAUUGGGGGAAAGGUCAUAAUACUGAAGGCGCUGAGUUGAUUGAUGUUUUUCUUGAUGUUGAUCAUAAAGAGGCGGAGAAUUGAUGCAAGGGGAAGCUGCUUUAGUCCUGAUUAGACACGGUGAGUCUAUGUGGAAUUAAAAAAGCUUGAUCACUGGUUGUGUAGAUGUGCCUUUGACUACAAAGGGUGUGGAAGAGGCCGUUGAAGCUGGGAAACGUGCAUGACUCAGCACGCUGCAA